CAUAGUCUCAAGCUUAGUUAGUAAAUUCACGAAUUAUUCGCAAAUUAUUCGGGAAUUAUUAAAAAUCCAAAUAAAACGGUCCGUUUACGAAUUUUUCCGAAAGAAAGAAAAUUAUUCGCGAAUUUUUAAGCCAGCCGAAUUAUUCGCGAAUAAUUCGCGAAUUAUUGCCGAAUUAUUGAAAAUAUGAAUAAAAAACUUAUAAUUUUAUUUUUAAAUAUAAAUUAUUUUAUAUUUUAUAUCUUAUAUUUUAUAUUUUAUAUCAAAUUUAUUUUUUAAACCAAAUUUUUCAACAAAUUUAAAAAUUAAAAAAUAAAUUUUAUACAUAUUAUAUUCGUACUGAAUUUUUCCCGAAUCGGAAUUAAUUAACUAUGGUCUCAAGACCCAAUUCCGCGUCCCAGACGUGGGUCCUACUCAACACACUUCUCUCUUCUGUCCCUAACACUUUCCAGAGUUUCAUUUUAAUCCUCAAACUUUUUGGAUCUGAUACUUAGUAUUUUAAAUUUUUAAUAACAUUUUAUUUUAAUUUUCAAACUUAUAAAAUUAUUUAUUCUCAACACAUGUCCGUAUGGGUCAAAAUAAAAUUCUCUUUGUAGUUUAGGAUUUUUAAUAAGUGAGGAAAUUGAAAGUUUAAGAAUCAAAAUAAAAUAUCGGUAUUGACCGCUCAGAGUGCAAGUGGUAAAAAAUUUAGU
rnacentral:lncRNA from 1 species